GAGCCGCGGGCAGUUCGGACAGCCGGGCAGGAAGUGAAACAGCGAGAGCAUCCAGUCAGUUUACCAAAAGACACCCCCCAAUAUCGUUUAUGUCACGGACAAUGAGAGAUUCAUCUUAGAGGUUGAAAAACAUAAUAGACAUCACAAAUCCUUUUUAUAAGGACAACACCAGAAAAGAGAAGGCAUGGAGUGUAACUGUAGGAGUGCCUGGAGUAGAAGGUAGAUAUUAGCUUAAUAAACACCUGAUUGUUCUGGAAAGUACUUGUACAGACAAUGAAAUCUGUGAGUCAGGCAGCAAGACGCUCCGCUUCCGAAACGCCCCCGGUGUGG